rnacentral:rRNA from 1 species
UACAGAGGGGGCAAGCGUUAUUCGGAAUUAUUGGGCGUAAAGGGCGCGUAGGCGGCCUGGCAAGUGGAAGGUGAAAUCCCUCGGCUUAACCGAGGAACUGCCUCCCAAACUGCUUGACUUGAGACCAGGAGAGGUGAGUGGAAUUCCCAGUGUAGCGGUGAAAUGCGUAGAUAUUGGGAGGAACACCAGUGGCGAAGGCGGCUCACUGGACUGGUACUGACGCUGAGGCGCGAAAGCGUGGGGAGCAAACGGG